CAUAUCGGGAAUCGAUGCAAAAUGCCAAAACGAAAUUAACAGUCCUUCUGGGAGAAUUGCCCCUUUGGACUAAAAAAAACCCAGCUAUUAAAAAAAAAAAAAAAAAAUAAGUUUUGAUUUUCUGAUGACAAACUGAAAACUAUUGUAUUAUUAAAUGUUCCAGGUCUACUCUGUUUUUAAUUAAAAACUAUACCGAGUCCGGAUUUUUGAAAAUUCCAGAUAUUCAGUUGACUUUAUAUGCUAUAUACAUGGUAAAGGCAAAGCAAGUAUUUUAGCAUCAGGCUGUUAUUUGAAAAAAAAAAAAAAAAAAAAUCCAAAUUCUGCACUUCUAAUAUUUGCUAAAUGGAAUAGAAGACAUGGAAUCUCUUGGACCAGCUCAGAAUAAACAGCCCAUUAUAGUGUGUAUUACAAGUUCAUUCUAUAUUAAAGCAGUAAAUCACUUAAUAGCAUGCCCAAAUCAUGCCAUGAAGGCAUUUGACAUUCUAUUUAAAACUAAUUUUGUAUUUAGCGUUCAAUAUGCACAUACAUCAACAAAUUUUUAUAAUUUUGUGGCAAGCCUUUUGUAUAAUGUCAGCACUCCUAGAGCUUGUGUGGACUCUUUAAAUACACGUUUUAGUAUGAAUUUAUUGCAUUCUGUACAUCCAUUACAUUUCAUAUUUUUAAUGUCAUUUUAUUGUCAUAUUUUCCAUUUUUAUAUAUGUAUAUA